GGAGCCGGACAGGCCACCGCCGCGGGGAACGCCCCGGGGAGGAAAGUCCGGGCUCUGCAGGGCAGGAUGCUGGGUAAUACCCAGGAGGGGCGACCCUCGGACAGCGCCACAGAAAGCAAACCGCCGCGUAAGCGGCAAGGGUGAAACGGUGAGGCAAGAGCUCACCAGAUGCCGCGGCGACGCGGCAUGCUCGGCAUACCCCAUCUUGAGCAAGACCAAAUAGGGAAGGUGGCUUGCCCGGCCCAUACCUUCCGGGUAGGUUGCUUGAGGCCGCGGGCAACUGCGGCCCUAGAUGAAUGGUGGUCGCGGGCGCCUUCGCGGCGCCUGACAAAACCCGGCUUAUCGUCCGACUCCCACU
rnacentral:RNase_P_RNA from 1 species